rnacentral:misc_RNA from 1 species
UCUGGCUUAUAGCCAAGCGGUCUCACUAGAGUGCCCAACUAAAUGAUGGCAACUAGUGACGAGGGUUGCGCUCGUUGCGGGACUUAACCCAACAUCUCACAACACGAGCUGACGACAGCCAUGCAGCACCUGUCACCGCGUCCCUUGCGGGAACUCCUGCUUUCACAGGAUAGCGCGGGAUGUCAAGCCCAGGUAAGGUUCUUCGCGUAGCAUCGAAUUGAACCACAUGCUCCACCGCUUGUGCGGGCCCCCGUCAAUUCCUUUGAGUUUUAAUCUUGCGACCGUACUUCCCAGGCGGGAUACUUAAUGCGUUAGCUGCGUUACCGACACAAUUAGGUAUGCCGACAACUAGUAUCCAUCGUUUAGGGCGUGGACUAC